rnacentral:rRNA from 5 species
GACCUUGAAAUACCACCCUUUAAUGUUUGAUGUUCUAACGUGGACCCGUGAUCCGGGUUGCGGACAGUGUCUGGUGGGUAGUUUGACUGGGGCGGUCUCCUCCUAAAGAGUAACGGAGGAGCACGAAGGUUGGCUAAUCCUGGUCGGACAUCAGGAGGUUAGUGCAAUGGCAUAAGCCAGCUUGACUGCGAGCGUGACGGCGCGAGCAGGUGCGAAAGCAGGUCAUAGUGAUCCGGUGGUUCUGAAUGGAAGGGCCAUCGCUCAACGGAUAAAAGGUACUCCGGGGAUAACAGGCUGAUACCGCCCAAGAGUUCAUAUCGACGGCGGUGUUUGGCACCUCGAUGUCGGCUCAUCACAUCCUGGGGCUGAAGUAGGUCCCAAGGGUAUGGCUGUUCGCCAUUUAAAGUGGUACGCGAGCUGGGUUUAGAACGUCGUGAGACAGUUCGGUCCCUAUCUGCCGUGGGCGCUGGAGAACUGAGGGGGGCUGCUCCUAGUACGAGAGGACCGGAGUGGACGCAUCACUGGUGUUCGGGUUGUCAUGCCAAUGGCACUGCCCGGUAGCUAAAUGCGGAAGAGAUAAGUGCUGAAAGCAUCUAAGCACGAAACUUGCCCCGA